rnacentral:sRNA from 1 species
UGGUAGAUGCACCCUGAUAAGACUAACACCCCUCGACUGGUUGGGUCGGGGGUUUUUUAU